rnacentral:rRNA from 1 species
GGUACCUAACCCAAAAAGCCACGGGUUUACUACGUGCCAGCAGCCGCGGUAAUACGUAGGUGGCAAGCGUUGUCCGGAAUUAUUGGGCGUAAAGCGCGCGCAGGCGGUUUCUUAAGUCUGAUGUGAAAGCCCCCGGCUCAACCGGGGAGGGUCAUUGGAAACUGGGGAACUUGAGUGCAGAAGAGGAGAGUGGAAUUCCACGUGUAGCGGUGAAAUGCGUAGAGAUGUGGAGGAACACCAGUGGCGAA